UUGAACGCUGGCGGCAUGCCUUACACAUGCAAGUCGAACGGCAGCACGGGUGCUUGCACCUGGUGGCGAGUGGCGAACGGGUGAGUAAUACAUCGGAACAUGUCCUGUAGUGGGGGAUAGCCCGGCGAAAGCCGGAUUAAUACCGCAUACGAUCUACGGAUGAAAGCGGGGGACCUUCGGGCCUCGCGCUAUAGGGUUGGCCGAUGGCUGAUUAGCUAGUUGGUGGGGUAAAGGCCUACCAAGGCGACGAUCAGUAGCUGGUCUGAGAGGACGACCAGCCACACUGGGACUGAGACACGGCCCAGACUCCUACGGGAGGCAGCAGUGGGGAAUUUUGGACAAUGGGCGAAAGCCUGAUCCAGCAAUGCCGCGUGUGUGAAGAAGGCCUUCGGGUUGUAAAGCACUUUUGUCCGGAAAGAAAUCCUUGGCUCUAAUACAGUCGGGGGAUGACGGUACCGGAAGAAUAAGCACCGGCUAACUACGUGCCAGCAGCCGCGGUAAUACGUAGGGUGCGAGCGUUAAUCGGAAUUACUGGGCGUAAAGCGUGCGCAGGCGGUUUGCUAAGACCGAUGUGAAAUCCCCGGGCUCAACCUGGGAACUGCAUUGGUGACUGGCAGGCUAGAGUAUGGCAGAGGGGGGUAGAAUUCCACGUGUAGCAGUGAAAUGCGUAGAGAUGUGGAGGAAUACCGAUGGCGAAGGCAGCCCCCUGGGCCAAUACUGACGCUCAUGCACGAAAGCGUGGGGGGAGCAAACAGGAUUAGAUACCCUGGUAGUCCACGCCCUAAACGAUGUCAACUAGUUGUUGGGGAUUCAUUUCCUUAGUAACGUAGCUAACGCGUGAAGUUGACCGCCUGGGGAGUACGGUCGCAAGAUUAAAACUCAAAGGAAUUGACGGGGACCCGCACAAGCGGUGGAUGAUGUGGAUUAAUUCGAUGCAACGCGAAAAACCUUACCUACCCUUGACAUGGUCGGAAUCCCGCUGAGAGGUGGGAGUGCUCGAAAGAGAACCGGCGCACAGGUGCUGCAUGGCUGUCGUCAGCUCGUGUCGUGAGAUGUUGGGUUAAGUCCCGCAACGAGCGCAACCCUUGUCCUUAGUUGCUACGCAAGAGCACUCUAAGGAGACUGCCGGUGACAAACCGGAGGAAGGUGGGGAUGACGUCAAGUCCUCAUGGCCCUUAUGGGUAGGGCUUCACACGUCAUACAAUGGUCGGAACAGAGGGUUGCCAACCCGCGAGGGGGAGCUAAUCCCAGAAAACCGAUCGUAGUCCGGAUUGCACUCUGCAACUCGAGUGCAUGAAGCUGGAAUCGCUAGUAAUCGCGGAUCAGCAUGCCGCGGUGAAUACGUUCCCGGGUCUUGUACACACCGC
rnacentral:rRNA from 1 species